rnacentral:tRNA from 1 species
GGACCAGUGGUGUAGCCUGGAUAGCAUGGGGGCCUCCGGAGCCUCAGAUCGCGGGUUCGAAUCCUGCCUGGUCCA